AUUGAACGCUGGCGGCAUGCCUUACACAUGCAAGUCGAACGGCAGCACGGGAGCAAUCCUGGUGGCGAGUGGCGAACGGGUGAGUAAAGUAUCGGAACGUGCCCAGUCGUGGGGGAUAACGUAGCGAAAGUUACGCUAAUACCGCAUACGAUCUAUGGAUGAAAGCGGGGGAUCGCAAGACCUCGCGCGAUUGGAGCGGCCGAUAUCAGAUUAGGUAGUUGGUGGGGUAAAGGCUCACCAAGCCGACGAUCUGUAGCUGGUCUGAGAGGACGACCAGCCACACUGGGACUGGGACACGGCCCAGACUCCUACGGGAGGCAGCAGUGGGGAAUUUUGGACAAUGGGCGAAAGCCUGAUCCAGCUAUGCCGCGUGCAGGAUGAAGGUCUUCGGGUUGUAAACUGCUUUUGUACGGAACGAAAAGGUUUGGCCUAAUAAGCUGAGCUCAUGACGGUACCGUAAGAAUAAGCACCGGCUAACUACGUGCCAGCAGCCGCCGUAA
rnacentral:rRNA from 1 species